rnacentral:rRNA from 1 species
GACGAACGCUGGCGGCGUGCCUAAUACAUGCAAGUAGAACGCUGAAGGAGGAGCUUGCUCUUCUGGAUGAGUUGCGAACGGGUGAGUAACGCGUAGGUAACCUGCCUGGUAGCGGGGGAUAACUAUUGGAAACGAUAGCUAAUACCGCAUAAGAGUAGAUGUUGCAUGACAUUUGCUUAAAAGGUGCAAUUGCAUCACUACCAGAUGGACCUGCGUUGUAUUAGCUAGUUGGUGGGGUAACGGCUCACCAAGGCGACGAUACAUAGCCGACCUGAGAGGGGGAUCGGCCACACUGGGACUGAGACACGGCCCAGACUCCUACGGGAGGCAGCAGUAGGGAAUCUUCGGCAAUGGACGGAAGUCUGACCGAGCAACGCCGCGUGAGUGAAGAAGGGUUUCGGAUCGUAAAGCUCUGUUGUAAGAGAAGAACGAGUGUGAGAGUGGAAAGUUCACACUGUGACGGUAUCUUACCAGAAAGGGACGGCUAACUACGUG